AGUGAACGCUGGCGGUAGGCCUAACACAUGCCAGUCGAACGGCAGCACAGUAAGAGCUUGCUCUUACGGGUGGCGAGUGGCGGACGGGUGAGGAAUACAUCGGAAUCUACUUUUUCGUGGGGGAUAACGUAGGGAAACUUACGCUAAUACCGCAUACGACCUACGGGUGAAAGCAGGGGAUCUUCGGACCUUGCGCGAUUGAAUGAGCCGAUGUCGGAUUAGCUAGUUGGCGGGGUAAAGGCCCACCAAGGCGACGAUCCGUAGCUGGUCUGAGAGGAUGAUCAGCCACACUGGAACUGAGACACGGUCCAGACUCCUACGGGAGGCAGCAGUGGGGAAUAUUGGACAAUGGGCGCAAGCCUGAUCCAGCCAUACCGCGUGGGUGAAGAAGGCCUUCGGGUUGUAAAGCCCUUUUGUUGGGAAAGAAAAGCAGCAGGUUAAUACCCCGCUGUUCUGACGGUACCCGAAGAAUAAGCACCGGCUAACUUCGUG
rnacentral:rRNA from 1 species